CUUAAGUAUAAAUAGAUAAAUCUGAAACCUCAAAAUAGGCAAUCUGUUUUAGAGGAAGUAUUUUUCUGCAUACUAAUUAGGCCUAGGCUUGAUAACUCUGCAGCUUUGGUGGAAGUUAUUAUUUGGUAGCAGUGAAUAAUUUGCCUACGGUACCAAUUCUCCCGAGUGACAAAGUGGCUGUCUAGCAGCCUGUAGGCUGGGAAGGAGGAAUAAAUUUUCUUUUGCAAUCUGCAUCUGAAGCCAGCUAUCUUGCAGGCAGAACCGGUACGCAAGAACACUAGGAUCGUGGUGUAAUGGAAAUAUAUGUUGUUGCUACUAUAAUCAAGAAUUGGCUUCGCCCAGCAAAGUUUAGGAUUGAUGCAAGGUAAAUUUAUUGUGUUAUUUAUAAUUUAGGUUAAAGAAAAGAUUGCUUAUCUAAUUACCUAAUAUAGAACUUAAAUUUUAUUAUAAUUAACAGAUUAGGCCGACAUCUAACUACUGUGAUGUUUUCUUUUCAAAUUGUGAAUUUUCAGUGACAGGCUAUGCAAAUGAGCAAAACUUAAUCUGCGGUUUUAUCCAUCUCUUUUUUCUUUAUUGUCAAGAACUCAAUGCCUUAUCGACAAAUUUAAUUAUAAAGUACAGGUAUAGUAAAAAAAUAGGUCUUAAAAAUGCCUAACGAAGGGGUCUCCAACCUACAGCCUGUGGGCUACAUCCGGCCCUCGUGCAGUUUUAUUCCAGCCAGCAGAAAGCCAGCAUACGUUUUUGAAAAUUAUUAUUUUUUAUAGCAAACACCAAUUAUAUUCUCCCACG